rnacentral:rRNA from 1 species
GUAGUCCACGCCGUAAACGAUGUCGACUAGCCGUUGGGAACCUUAGAGUUUCUUGUGGCGAAGCUAACGCGAUAAGUCGACCGCCUGGGGAGUACGGCCGCAAGGUUAAAACUCAAAUGAAUUGACGGGGGCCCGCACAAGCGGUGGAGCAUGUGGUUUAAUUCGAUGCAACGCGAAGAACCUUACCAGGUCUUGACAUCCAGAGAACUUUCCAGAGAUGGAUUGGUGCCUUCGGGAGCUCUGAGACAGGUGCUGCAUGGCUGUCGUCAGCUCGUGUUGUGAAAUGUUGGGUUAAGUCCCGUAACGAGCGCAACCCUUGUCCUUAGUUGCCAGCGAGUAAUGUCGGGAAC